GGACGAGGCGGUGAAGGAGCAGCUCUCCUCCUGAGCCUCCAUCCCAGAGAAGACAGAGCGGCAGCAGAGUCCCUCCUCGGCUCAACGCUUCAUCCCCCUGCAGCUUCUGAAGUUCACACCGAGACGCCCGUCGUGAGGUCAAAAGAACACGAUGUACUGAGAGUGUGAGCUGUGACUGAACCUGCCAAGACUGACUGUCCUGAACACACAGGAUCCUUUAGGAGUCGAUGCAGAGUCCAGCGACAACAGGAGCCUCAACGCUCACCUGGUGUUUCACAAAACACAAGAGUGCAGAUAACAGAUACGAAUCCCACACACACUAACACACAAACCCUAACAAAUCAUAUUUCUUUCUAUUAAUUCAACUAAUGAACAUAUUUUCUAGCAUGGAGUUGGAGUCAUUUUGGUGGACAAACUGUAUCCUAAAAUAAUUCCUGUAUUUCCCCAAGCGUCUUGUUCUGACCGAAAGGAAAAGUUUUAUUUUCAGGCAAAACAUACUUCCGUUCAAAAGUUUGGGGUCACCCAGACAAUUUUAGAACACAGGAGUGAUGGUUCCUGGAAAUGUUCCUCUGUACUCCUAUGUAGAUAUUCCAUUAAAAAUCAGCCGUUUCCAGCUAGAAUAGUCAUUUACCACAUGAACAAUGUCUAGGCUGUAUUUCUGAUUAAUUUAAUGUUAUCGUCUUUGAAGAAAACUGCUUUUCCUUCAAAAAUAAGAACAUUUCUAAGCAACCCCAAACUUUUGAACAGUAGUGUCCUCUUAUAUAUGUGUAUUAGUAAUAGUAAAAACAGAUAUAAAUGGGGUUUAUUACCUCUUUAGCAAUGUUUUUCAUGAACUAGUUAGCAGCUUACCACGAAGACACCACUUGACCCCGCACCACUGUCUGCUCAGCUGCGAUAUGUACUCAGCUACAUGUGCUGCUGACAGUGGAUUAACGGAGUUGGAGGCAUUUUGCUGGACAUCCUAAAACCAUUCCUAAAUUACCCCAAGCAUCUUGUUCUGAACGAAAAGUAAAGUUUCAUUUCAGGCAACAUAUAUGACAAAACUAAGAUAUAUCUUUGAAAGCCCAAUAUCUUAGUACUGGUAUAUUGGUUGGGUUCUACUGUGAACACCAUGUUCUUAUUGUAGUGCAAUAAGUAGAUUUUUACCAUUAAAACUGGUAAAGAUGAAGAAAAUUGUAUCUACUUUACCUCUUGUGGUAGUUUAUUAUCUAAUGGUAUUUUAUAAGAUAAUCCUGUUUCUGAUCUAAUCUGAUGGAAUGAAGUCCAACAUUUACCUCUGAAAUGUAUUGAAGUAGAAAUAUAAAGUAGCAUGCAGCGGAAGUAAAGUCAGUGUACCUCAGUUUCAUCAGCCCACUCCUAUUUCUUUCCUUUUGCAAGCGAGCAGGUACUAGAUUGCAAAGAAAUCACUACAGUUCAUUGAAUGUUCAUUAUUAAUUUCAGCAGCAUCAUUACUGGCCAUUAAAAUGAUGUCUAAUCACAUACAUUAAGGCCAUUGUUAUGAGUUGCAGCCUUUGCGGUCUCCGUGGAAAGCCAAACUCUUGCUGCAGCCUGAUUAUCAAGAUUAAAUGUAGUCGGUUACCUCACUGCUCACGCCUCAUCUCAUGAGGUCGUUGGUCGGUGCGUCAGCCCUCCUCCAUUUCCUCCUCCAACCUCCCCACCCCCGCUGCACCCACGUUGCAUUAUUAAACUCGAAUAAGAUCAUUAGCAUACAAAGCAGGAAACCUACCGCGGCGGAGUCAUGCAUAUUUAUCUGGACGUGCCUGACUUGUGUGCGCAUACACUCGUACUGUAACCCUCCUUUUGGGUGCCGAGCUCGACCGACUCUCUGCUGCAGGAGAGCCGCGGACACCGACUAUGAAGUGGAUAUUAAUAGAAGCAUGUCUGGUUUAAAGAAGCAUAUAUUUAUUUGCGAAACAUCUGCGCAAGCCUUCAUUUAAAACGUGUGCGGGAAAUGUGUGUAUUUGGAAGCAGAGCAGAUGGAGUUCGGUUGGGUUCGUCAGAGCAGUUUGCUUCCAGCAUAUCAAAUAUAGUUUACACACAGAGGAAUUUCUGAAUCUAGUAAUGCCCACAAUACAUAUUCAUCUUCUGCACACAGAGGCACAUAAUCAAACAGACAGAAACACAAACAGAGAACACGGCCCCCUGAAUUCCUGUAGCACCUGUGGUUUGCCUCUGGCUUUUGAAUGACUUCUUUUUCUCUCUCUUCCUUGCAUCCUUCCUCACCAAAUUCAACCUUCUUCGCCUCCCUGUUCCCAUGUGGGGAUCACUUUCACCUUAUUUUCCCUCCAGCUGAGAGAACAACAACCACCUCCUUUUUUUUUCUUUUUGGGCUUCAUGAAGUUAAUAUUCUUUCCUCCUUCCUCCUUUUUCCUUCCUCCUGUGAAAUUGCUGUUGUGUCUUAUGGCUUUUUAUUCCUACGUGAUGGUAGAUGGGUUCAUGUAGGAGUAGAAGCCACUAAACACGCGGUGAGUCUUCGACACGCCGGCCAACACAUGCAGUGAGCGUCCUGUGGAUACGACAGCUGCCGUGUUCACAUCAGUGUCCUGCCUAUUAUCAGGAAUGUAUGCACAGUUUAAACAGUACACAGCAAUCACUGCAGAGAGCGAGUUUUUGUUCUGGUUAUAACGGGAGACAUCUACAAUUCUGUCUUUAAACAUAUUGGCUUCAAGACAAUAGAAGCAUCAGUCUGGGCCGACAGAUCAAUCAAAUCUGUAGCUGUGAACAGACCUACUUUCCUCACCUGCUCACUGCCUCCAUGUGGCCUGAAUUUCAAACUCAUUCCUGCGUUUCCUCUGCCCCGGGGUCAUUGCACAAAACUGGAGCUGGAAAGUUCUCAAAAUAGAGAUCAGGAGGAAACUACGAUGGAAACAAAACAACUUGCAGAGGUAGGUCAUCAAUGCUGUUUAAUAAUGUACAAGAUCUUUUCUGUUCUGCCAUGAUGCCGAAAUGAGCACACAGAAACCUGUUAGUGCUUCACAUGAAUCGUGUCACACAUAAUAAAUUCACAUUUUGGACAUAAAAUGAAUGUGAAAAUAGCAAUUUCACAUCUUGUCAAUGUCCUGUGAGCUCAGAAAAACACAUCCAUUGAAAAUCAUUUUUCAAAAAAAGCAAGAGAUAGAAAAGGAAGAAUGUCGUCGACACAUAAAGGAGCAUUUAAUCCCUCAGCUUGAAAAGACUAACAGCCAGUUUCUCAGACAUGGAUUAAGCUCAGCACUAGACUAAAAGAAAAAAUCAGUGAAGACAUCUACUGAAAAUAGUGUUUGUUCUAGGACUAGGCUAAAUCCAUAUCUGGGAAGCUAUGACUUAGUUUUCAGUCAUGAUAGUGGGACAAGAAGACAAACCCUCUGAACUCCAGGUAGAUUUAAAAUUUUUUUUUGCUUCUGUCACAUUUUUACUGACUGUGGGUUCAUUUUUCACUUUAAUAUAAAGUCCUGCACCUCUGUGGAAGCAGUAACCACCAUGACUAGAAGUAGAGAGAACUCAGAAAUGUCUCCUGUGCAGUAUGACACAUUUAUAAUGAGAGAAAUCAUAAAAGAAAAACAACAGUUGAAUGUCUUUGAUUCCUUACUUUGCCACAGUUCUGAAAAACUGGAAUCAACAUGUACAAGGUUUCUCCACAGCAGUUACUGAUACUGAAAGAAAAGAUGACUACAUACUAUAGAUAUUUUACUACUUACACUAUCAUUCAAAAGUUUGGUGUCUCUUAGAAAUGUCCUUUUUUUUUUUUUUUUUAAAGAAAAUCUAUUUUUAUUUUCAAUGAAGUUAACAUUGAAUGAAUCUGAAAUACAGUCUGGACAUUGUUAAUGUGGUAAAUGACUAUUCUAGCUGGAAAUGUCUGAUUUUUAAUGGAAUAUCUACAUAGGAGUACAGAGGAACAUUUCCAGCAACCAUCACUCCUGUGUUCUAAUGCUACAUUGUGUUAGCUAAUGGUGUUGAAAGGCUGAUUGAUGAUUAUAAAACCCUUGUGGAAUUAUGUUAGCACAUGAAUGACCGUGUGAGUUUUCAUGGAAAACAUGAAAUUGUCUGGCUGACCCCAAACUUUUGAACGGUGUAUGUUUUAAAAUCGUUUCCAUAUUUGUCUUCUAUCUGUUCUGUGUAAACACAGCCUGCAGUUCAGCCUAGUUCAGCCAAAAAUUUUAGCAUAUUAUUGUUGGUCACAACUCACUUCACAGCUCCUCAGAGAAACGCAGUAUUUUUUAUUUUUACGGAAUCUUAUUAGAGCAAACUUUUUUUUAAUCAUAAAGUGAUUUUGAAUAAAUGUCACAAUUUUCUGAUUAGAUUACGGUUUUACACUUUUUGGCUCUGAUAAAUGGUGGAAUUUUGGCAGGCGAUGUGCCUUUCAAACGCACCAGUUGGUUUUCUAAGCUUUUUCUGAGCUCUAAGAAAGUUUCACAAUUAUUACACAUAAAAAUGCCUUUUGGUCUACCAUGAUUUUGGGGGGGGGUUUCAGUACUGUGAGUGGGAUAAAUGAGUAAAUAAAUCCAGGAUCUUAGUUUAGUUGGUUUAUCUUUAGGGUAAAUACAACUGAUGUGCCACUUGGCUUUGAAGAGAAUGAUCUAAAGUAUUUGAAAAAAUGACAUUUUUGACCACGCAAUGGAGCAAAAUGAGAAUUGGACAAUCACCAGAGCAGUUACAAUAUUAUGAUAAUCCAUCCAGAAGUUCUUGACUCGAAAACAUAAAAACUGAUUUGCUUGUGGCACUGGAAUAGAAGUCAUGGGACUAUUUUAUAUCUAUUUCCAAGUAUAUUUGGUCUUUUUUCAGUCCUCUUUUUAAGCUUCUCUCAUUUGUCUUGUUAAAGUAGCUGCAUGAAGCUUCCAAAUAAAAACUUCUUGUUAUCAUUUCAACAGUUUUCAUCCGACAGAGUAUUCAUUCCUUAACACAGCUUUUAUAAUUUUUCUAUACAUUGUGCUUCAUUUAUAUUUUAUCCAUCUCUGUUUGUUCUUGUCAACCCCUCCACGGUCAUUUUCGAAAACUAUCAGGGUUUAUUUAAGGAAAUAUGCUAUGUUUUUACUGUUCAUCCAGCAUUUUAGAUGUGAAAAACUCCCACACAUUCAGAUGCAUUUGGGUAUGCUCCCUCUAAAGGUCUUUCUCUUUGGACUGAUCAAAUCGAUUUCCACCGUUGAGUCACUCUUUAACUCUUUAGGCUCCAGUUUGAAAACUUUAACUCCUCUUCGUGCCAACUUCUGAAACUUUUGGCCACUCGCAAAUUACAUUUAAAAUUUUGGCCCUGCUCAAAAUGGCUGAUAAUGGUAUUUAUCUGCAGUAACUUUCUGCCUGAGCUGAACUCAGUGUCAACCAAUUAAACAGGAAAUUCAAAUUAUCCUGCUCGUGGGUCCAGUUUGGUGCUGUGGGGUUUGAGUUUAAAUGUCAACCUUCUGUUUGUAUUUGCUGUAAAAUAAGCCGCUCACUCUUUCUCCCCUGAACAGAAUCUGAAUAAAGCCUAAAUGGGUCGUCGGAAAACCAAAAACUGAAUUAGUAAUUCCUGGGUAUUACAAGAAUUCGACACAUGCUUGUAAUCGUGUGACACUGAUAGGAGUCGGAUAAUUAUUCAAGAUGAAAUUGUAAUAGAUGAGGUCUGAGGUUUAAUGAUUUUUUUAAGGCUGUAAGUUGUUAUGAUCUAAUAUUCAGUGGGUGGGUUGGGAAGUUUCUUUUCCUUGCAUUAUCACUUUAAUUUAUUUUUCAGGUUCCCACUCCUACGUAGGCUUUUUUUUCCCCCUUCUUUAUAGAGACACGAGGAGGGCUGAGAGAGGAUUCGAUCCUCGACCAGCGGGGGUCCAUGGGAAUCUAAAGGUGGGGAAUCAACCACCGUGGCAUUGAUGGGAAACAGCCUGCAUUAUUUAAAACAGCAUAUAAAGGCAAAGUUGUGUUUCAAUAGAUUGCUGCCAUCCUCAAUUGUGCCUGAGGGUGUGUGUGCGCCUUUUUCCUGUGCUGCAAAACCUCACAUUUUCCAAAAUGUCAGAAUGAUCGGUGAAAUAAGCCAGCACAGCCUCAUUUUCAUUUUGACAGCUGUGUAGUUUUUUGGGGUUUUUUUUAUUCUGUAAAUUAUGCAAUGGCUUUCAUGAAUCCUCGAGUUUUACAAGGUCACACAAUCCUCCGGUUCAGGUAAAAAAAAACAACAUGGAAAUCAUCAACAUCGCCAUAAUGGAUUUUUUCAUCUGACAGCUGCAAUAAUGUAGCAUGCUUGUGUACAGUAGAUUUAACAUAUGAGUGUUGUGCUACUUUAUCUACACCCCCACAGGCUACACUUUGAUUUUCCUGUAAUAAAUAAUGCUCUUUUGUGUUCUGUGCUUCAUUUGUUCCCUGUUGUAACCUCAGAGCUGCUCAAUAAAUUAUGAAUUACGCCAGUUCAA